rnacentral:rRNA from 1 species
AGCGAACGCUGGCGGCAGGCCUAACACAUGCAAGUCGAACGAACUCUUCGGAGUUAGUGGCGGACGGGUGAGUAACACGUGGGAACGUGCCUUUAGGUUCGGAAUAACUCAGGGAAACUUGAGCUAAUACCGGAUGUGCUCUUCGGGGGAAAGAUUUAUCGCCUUUGGAGCGGCGCGCGUCUGAUUAGCUAGUUGGUGAGGUAAAGGCUCACCAAGGCGACGAUCAGUAGCUGGUCUGAGAGGAUGAUCAGCCACACUGGGACUGAGACACGGCCCAAACUCCUACGGGAGGCAGCAGUGGGGAAUCUUGCGCAAUGGGCGAAAGCCUGACGCAGCCAUGCCGGGUGAAUGAUGAAGGUCUUAGGAUUGUAAAAUUCUUUCACCGGGGACGAUAAUGACGGUACCCGGAGAAGAAGCCCCGGCUAACUUCGUG